AUGGUCUCCAGCAUCCAAGGAGAGUGUGGGCAGCUGGAGCCAGUUAGCACUGCCUCUAAGGUCUCCUGCAACUCACCCACCCACCCCUCUUACUCCAUGGUAUUCAACUUCUAAACUAAGAGGAAAGCCCGAGCUAGAGGUCCUAUGCAUCAAUCAGGGAAGAGAUAUUGAGAAGAAUAAACAGAGAAACUAAUAGCUGAGAUCAACCUUGAUUGCCUUUUAAGUCGAGUAAAUUGGAGGACAGGCUGCCCAGUAUCUUAGUUCUUCUAAGACUGCUUGCAAACCAGAAAGUGUGAACAGUGUGAUGACGAAUGCUCUUAAGACCAGGAGUUCAAGCUUAACUCCCAACCCCUUGAGUGUGGGCUAGACUUAGUGACCUGCUUCUAAGGAAUAGAGUAUGGAAAGAGGAAAAUAGCAACAUUACAGGAGAGAAACCUGAAAGCAACUUAACCAAGUGAUCACAGAAUCACUGGUAAUAACUCUUGUUGAUAUCAUGUGCCCCCAAUACAGUAUGAUGAAAAGACCCAUCAUCUCGGUGAUAUUUAUCCUCAAAAUCUAUAAUCUUACAACAAUUAUGAGAAAAUAUAGACAAACCCAAUUUGAAAGGAAGCAAGUCUACAAGAUACUUAACCAGUACUUUACAAAAGUGACAAGGUCACAAAAGACAGCACAAGACUGAGAAACUCACAGAUUGGAGGAAGCCAAAGAGACAUCAUGGCUGAGAUCAUGGUGGUGGAACCCUGGUUUGGAUCCUGGAACAGAAAAAAAGAACACUAAGUGGAAAAACUGAUGAAAUAUAAAUAACAUAAUAAAAAUCUAUAAUUUAAUUAAUGGUA
rnacentral:lncRNA from 1 species